UCUCUUUCUCUCUCUGUCUCUGUUCUUGCCUCUCCUUGUGCCUUUUCCCUUCAUAGGACACAGGCAGCUGUGCUAGGUGUGCAUCCCCACAGGCUAGGUCUCGAGAGCUAUGAACAAGUAGGAGGGGACGAAAAUCAUGCAGGAUAGUGGGUGCGAGAGUGGAGGCAGGUACUGGAAGAUGUCGUGCACCUAGACUGUUUUUGGCAGUGAUGGCUCUUCCAUAGUGGAGCCAAGGAGCGAUCUUGUAAUGUUGGAGGAGCAGUUCCUACUGAGAUUGGUCUCUGCCACAGGUUGGCCAGUCUCUCAUCAGACCAAAGAAGUAGUGGCCACCCUGAGCCCAUCCCUAGUGACGAAAGCCGGACAGUAAUCUGCAGAAGGGAUCAUCCAGGAGCCGCAGCUAGAGGAGAAACUAGAAGAAAUGAACCUGAGCAGCCUGGACAUCCUUGUAAGCAGAGAUGAACAGUCCUCAGCUUUCUGCCUUCCACAUAACUGGCUGUGAGUUUGGCAUUUCUGACCAGAGUCUGCUAUGCAGAGCUGUUAAUUGGCUCUCAGCUAGGCAGACCUGAUAUUUCAGUAAGAGUUUCUGGCGACUCCAGACGGGACUCUCCUAGGUCAGACAUUGGACUCCAGACGGUUGCAGUGAACUACGAGCGGUGCCACUGGGGUGCUUAACCCCUCUUCUUCACUUCUCCACAGCCCCUGGGGUUCGUGAUCCGAUAAGAUAAUCAGAGAAAACUGAUGCCAGCUGAACAGCAUUCAACAUAUCAUCAUGCAUUUACUGGUAAAGAAGUGCUAUCCAAAGACUCUAGCAGCCCUGCCACUCCUUGGAACCAGGAGACUGGAUCUAUGUAAAGGUCCACCAAUGAAAGACUCCCCUGGCUCCAUGCUGGAAUGGCCCUUUCCAAGUCCUGUUAAUCACCAAUACUGCCCUGAAGUGCCAAGGAUUGACUGCCUGGACCCAUGCUUCUCACUGCAAAAAGACCCCUCCACCUUGGGAGGAUUCUCCUAAUGAUGAGUAGCCUAUUUCUCCUUCUAGCUCUGCUGUGCCUUCUGGACAGCAAGGAAAAAGGACAACCUCUCCUUUGUCCAGUGACAGAUCUACUGUGCCUUUGGAUUUUUCUAGAAGAAGCAAAGCCAUUACAGGCUGAUAUGCUAGUAACCUCUCUCCUGUAGGAUGCUGAGCCAUGCUUGCUUCAGGAAAGAAGGAGGAACACUUGUUCCACUGAAAUUGCCAAAGUCCAGGAAUUCCUUACUAGAAAGGACAUUAAGAACUGACCCUGGUGAAGAAACAAAGAAUUAUACACUUGCAGGAAG